AACUUUCGACAACGGAUCACUUGGCUCUCGCAUCGAUGAAGAACGCAGCGAAUUGCGAUAAGUAAUGUGAAUUGCAGAUUUCAGUGAAUCAUCGAAUCUUUGAACGCACCUUGCACCCUUUGGCAUUCCAAAGGGUAUGCCUGUUUGAGUAUCAUGAAAUUCUCAACUCCCCUAGGAUUCCAUCUGUAGGGUGAGCUUGGACUUGGAGGUUUCUGCUGGCGUUCGCCGGCUCCUCUUGAAAUCAUUAGCUUUGAGUUGAUCUCGAUGGCUCGACCGGUGUGAUAAACAUCUACGCCGAUUUGUGCCGUCCUGAGCGACGACGUCGGAGACGCUCUGGCUUAUAACCGUCUUCACCAGAGGACGACUCCCUGAACUUUUGAUCUCAAAUCAGGUAGGACUACCCGCUGAACUUAAGCAUAUCAAUAAGCGGAGG
rnacentral:misc_RNA from 1 species